rnacentral:rRNA from 1 species
GACGAACGCUGGCGGCGUGCUUAACACAUGCAAGUCGAACGGAAAGGCCCUGCUUUUGUGGGGUGCUCGAGUGGCGAACGGGUGAGUAACACGUGAGUAACCUGCCCUUGACUUUGGGAUAACUUCAGGAAACUGGGGCUAAUACCGGAUAGGAGCUCCUGCUGCAUGGUGGGGGUUGGAAAGUUUCGGCGGUUGGGGAUGGACUCGCGGCUUAUCAGCUUGUUGGUGGGGUAGUGGCUUACCAAGGCUUUGACGGGUAGCCGGCCUGAGAGGGUGACCGGCCACAUUGGGACUGAGAUACGGCCCAGACUCCUACGGGAGGCAGCAGUGGGGAAUAUUGCACAAUGGGCGGAAACCUGAUGCAGCAACGCCGCGUGCUGGAUGACGGCCUUCGGGUUGUAAACCGCUUUCGCCUGUGACGAAGCGUGAGUGACGGUAAUGGGUAAAGAAGCACCGGCUAACUACGUG